AGGAAUCCUUAUUCCUCUAGACCAGGUAAACGAGGCGCAAAAGGCGAUGUUGGCCCACCAGGAUUAAAGGGAUCGUCCGGAGAAGUUGAUUAUGGAAGAAUGAACCGAGCAAUUCAAGAAAAUGUAGAAACCGAAUUCAAUAGAGUGAACACGGGAUUGGUUGGAAAAAUAAAUAAAAUGGAAGAAAUGAUUCGAAAAAUGAAUAACACUAUGUCCGACCCUCGUAGGCUGGUGAAGUUACAAGGACUUUGCCCCGUAAAUUAUCGCAAUCAUUGCUUCUGGUCAGUAGUGCAUUCAACAUAUGAUACCAAUAUGGAUGAAGCAAAAAGAAUUUGUGGAGAAAACAAUGGGCUUCCGGCGAAUGUUUAUAACGAGCAACAUCUGAACGACUUGAUGGAUGAUAUUCGAAAAAAAGUAUCAGGCUCUUUUGUGUACAUAUGGACAGGCAUGACAGUCGAUGUAUAGACGAAUGCAGUUCGCAUGAGAGACCUCACUGCGGCUGCGUUUGUCAAAUGGUUGAACAGUGGAUUUCCAGACAGAGGAGAAUCAGGUUUGUAUAUCUACGUUACUACUGACGCAUCAUCCAGCAGCCAAGGAAUGGGGAACAAUCCACCUGCAUACAAAUAUCACGGCGUCAUUUGUGAAAAAUAGAAUACAAUGUAUUCGAGAUGUCUUUAUAUUUGAAUCAUAUUUCAAACUCUGUAUUUUGGGAAACAUAUUUUUGACAAUGUUUCAAUUAGUUUUCACGAUAAGCCAUUUCCUAUUAUAUCGCAUGAAAAACUAUCUAUACUGGUGAUCUGAAGACAUUUGUGUUCCGCCACACGAAUAAACCUUUUUUACCGCAUUUAUCUUUUCUGGUAUAAUUAUGAAAAUCCUUCGUUACUUUCUAAACUUCACACUCUACACGGAGUAUUGAAAAAGGUUCCCAUUGAUAAUGAGAAAAUUUUAGGUAUACUUGACAUGAAUGUAUGGUUAAUAUAUAUGACAUGACUUAUUUCCAAGACUAGGUUGUUUUAGAUUUUCGCUCGUACCAAGGACUUAAACAAGCAGGCGCUUGUUUCUAAGAAGCCACUAGAUUUAUAAAUGCCGGUUUUAUCAAUUUCUUUUUGAUAUCACCGAAAACAUAUAUUUGUUUUUCUCUCUGCAAAUUAGCAAAUCUACCGCAACAAUUUUUCGUUUUUGCCCUGAAGUAUUUCAACUCUAUGGUAAAUUCGGAUUUCAGUUUACUCGCGCAGUGUUUGCAUAUUCGUUUUCAAGUUUCUGUAAAAAUGUCUUUCGGUUGAUAGGCUGGAAAUGAAAAAUGAAAGGACCGGGAUUGAAAUAUUUUGUAAAAUGAAUGCAGCAAGCCAAUAUACGAGAAUAUCGGUCAGAGACCAAAGACUUAUCGAU